UAUUCUGUUUGAAUUAGCCAACUUCCUCGAGUUCUUUAAUUAAAAAACAAUCAAAACAUGAUCUACGUGUUAUCUGGUGUAAUCAUCGCGUUUGGUUGCCAUCGUUACGACUGUCAUCUUCAAGUGCUUAACCGCCGCUUUAGCAGACGACAGCUGUAAACAAAAGCAAGGCCAAGAUCAAAGACACUUUUUUUUUCCUUUUUUUUUGAGCAGCCUUUCCUCUUUUUAGGAUUGGAACAAAGAUUGGAAGCCUGGUCCAUAUCGCAAGACAGGUGCUUAAAGAAGUGACACUGCAGAUGGACUCGGAUAUGAUGAUAAAACAAGCUGUAAAAAAUGAUAAUGAGCCUCCUGCAAUCUUUGAGGUGAGAGAAAAUUUUGAUGACAUAAAAAGGGAGAGUGAGGAAGCAGCAGAAGAUAACCCUGAAGGGAGCUCCAACGGAGAUGAGAAUGGAGAUGAUGAUUUUAACUUGGAAGCAUUCAAUAAGGAAUAUCCUGAGCUUAGUGACACAACACACCAAAGAAAAUAUGGAUGUAAAGAUGCUUGAAAGUCUUUUCAUCACAAGAAUGUUUUGGCAGUGAUUAUUUGCGACUUCACGUCAUCCCAACAUCAGGGAGUGAAGCCCUUUAAAUGUGACGUUUUUACGACCGAUCCAACUUACGUCAACAUACGAGAUCACUGAUGAAAAACUGGCCCGUCCGUAAUGUCCGCACAAAUACUUAAACUGUCUGAAAACAUUUGACCAUUCACACGAAAGAAAAAACAUUCAGUGUGAUACCAGUGGAGCUGGAAAAGAUUUUCGCUAGCUGCUCUGGGUCAUCGUCAAAAGUUGCCAAUCCGGAGAGAGAGGAUCGAUUAUUGAGAGACGAUAUGAGCUGCAUGAAAUGCGACCGAAAAUUCCCUUUGAUUGGAGCGGCUAUCCAGCUGCGAUGUUCUACAGUUUAUUCUCCUCUUUUGAAAGGUCGUAAACAGCAGCAGCAGCAAAGCCCAGUUGUAGUUCCUAAUAAUGACGUGUCUGGGUCUGAAUCAACUCCAUCCUCGAGUAAUCUUCCGGGCAGUGACGUCAUCGUAGCAUCCAAUGAACCGUCUUCACCCACCAUCAGCGGUAAGGAGGCUUCCGACACUUCGGAAGAAGGAAGUCGAGGUGGUUGUGGAUAAAAUCAUGCGACUCGCUUCUAUUAACAGUGAGCAGCCAGAAAAGUGGCUCAGUUUGGAAACAAGUUACCCGCUUAAUCAACUAAUUAACAUGUUAAUCGUCAUCGGUAACCGAGGUGUUGUUCUGAAGUUCGGAACGAGUUGGUCUCACCUCAUUUUGCUUCGUGAUCAAAGACGAACCAAGAACGCGUGACUCACUUUCUCACUGAUAUUCUUGAGAAAUCCGGAUUUACUGUUCCGCCGUUAAGGACGGUACUCAUGGCGGAUCAAUGGCUGGCUUUGAUUGGACUCCGUCAGAGGAGAUCAGGACACUGUUUUGACGGGAUCUGCGGAUGAAGGUGAAACGGACGGUGUAGUGUAGGAUCUACGAGGACGAGUACCCGAUUCAUGCCGGAUAGCGAUUCUCGCGUAUUCCUCUUUUGUGUAAACUGACGGGUCGAAUGGGGCAAUAGUAAGCAACAGAAAAAUCACCAGCAAACGGCCAGUUAUAGCAACACAGCCUUGAUGGUCACAAGUUAUCGUAUGGUUUUAGUAUGUGGUGAUCCUCGUUGGCUGACGAGCCAUCAAGUUCAGUUUUGAACGUGGGGUGGGAGGGGGAGAGGGUCGCUUCUCAGCCUUCAGCAACUUGUCAAUCUCGUCUCUUUGGAAAGCUUCGAAGUAAUCGUAAGCAAACCGGAACAGAUCCGGUAUUAUUUUCUCGAAUGGACAGUUUCUUUGGCUACUAGAGAGGCGGUUGAUCAACUGAUUGAAGCUGUACGAUAUCGUUGGGAAGCCGUCUUCUCCGUUGAGCUGGAAAUCAACGAGCUCGACGACUAACAUCAUGUAAUAUCCCCUCUCGAUUAGACUUAUCGUUUUUCUUUAUUGUUACCUUGCUGUACAUGAAUUCUGUGUGAAGUGCAAUUAUUGUUUCAAAAGUGAGCCUUUUCAACUUGGAAGUCUAAUUAAUUACACAAUGUGCAUUCAGAUUUCAGAUAAUAAGCAAUUUAUAAUAAAAUUAUUAUUCAUGUAUUUUUUUUAUUACUGCUUUAAACACAAAUUCACUAAGCAUGUUUCCAGAAGGGUGACUUUGUUUUGGUAUUCAAAUAUUUGUAAAGCUUUUUUAUUCUAGAGUUCAGCGUGCCCCACUUUGUUGGAUGAGUGAGGGGUAAUCUUCUCGUUGCACAAAUUUCAUCUUGGGCAACAGGACCUAGAAUUAAGUUUGAAACAACAUAGGAGGAACAUUAUUGAACAAUUGAGUUGGGUGUAAGGUCUUUCGAGUGAUCUUAUUAGAUGGGCCAAGGAUAUCAAUGUAGUCAUUCUGGCCAAAAAGUGCUCGUUUGAGGAAUGAGGAGGCGGAGGCUUCUACGCCGACGUGUCCAGUGGCUGCAGACGAUUCUAUACCUGUGGAGUUGGGAAAAAGAACAGAGUGGUGUCGCAUACUUUUACGUGUGGAACCGGGCUACUGUUUGACCAAGCCACGCUAACAUGUCAGGACAUUGACAAAGUGGAUUGCGCCUUGUCGCCGACUUUCUUCUAUCUAAACGAUCCUGCUCUCCGUCCAGCCGUUACAGAACCGAUGGUCACGGACACUUUUCAGUCGUUCAAAACCACCACCACCACAACACCUUCUCCUGAAGAAACAACAACAUCCUAGGAUUUGGAAUUUUUAUAUAUAAAUAAUUAAUAAGAAAGCAUUACGUUCGUUUCACCAUCGCCGGAUUGAUUAGUCUUGUGCCAUUGAUUUCCAGAUAUCAAGAAUACAUUCCUAUCAUAGAA